rnacentral:misc_RNA from 1 species
UUUCCUUAGUCUUGCUUGAUCAGUCCCUGAUACAAUAUUUAUUUGCCUAAGGGCCAAGGAAAGGGCAAAAAAAGCCUCCGCAGUCUUCUCUAAUGAACAUUCUUUCGAGUGAUUGCUUGUGUUUGCGUAUUUUAACCAGGUUUUGGCCUGAGAAGCUUCGAAGAUGGCUCCCCAGCAAUUCAAGGUUCCGAAACCAACAACAAGAAGGCGAACUGGUGCCCUUGAAAAAUCUGGAUCAGCCAUAGCAACUUAGUUAAUGGACGUGCCUCCAUCGGCAAGCCUUCUUCCACAAGAUUUAUUUCCUCCAUUUUCUUUGGAGGGCAUGUAUAUAGG